ACUGGUUUGUUUCUAGUGCUUGCUACUACAGCAUACAGACAGAGAAUAUUAGCAUUGCUCCUGCACAAUAAUGAUGGACAAAUUCAUAAAGAAUUCCAUAUUUUU